GACCAAGGGUUCCAGUCCAACGUUAAUCGGGGCUGGGUGAGUCGACCCCUAAGGCGAGGCCGAAAGGCGUAGUCGAUGGGAAAAUGGUUAAUAUUCCAUUACUUCUGUGUAAUGCGAUGAGAGGACGGAGAAGGCUAAAUCAGCCUGGCGUUGGUUGUCCAGGUGAAAGGAUGUAGGCAUGUAUCUUAGGCAAAUCCGGGGUACUCUAUGCUGAGAUCUGAUAGCAAGCUGUACUUGUACAGCGAAGUGGUUGAUGCCAUGCUUCCAGGAAAAGUCUCUAAGCUUCAGUUACACAGGAAUCGUACCCGAAACCGACACAGGUGGUCAGGUCGAGUAGACCAAGGCGCUUGAGAGAACUCUGCUGAAGGAACUAGGCAAAAUGGUACCGUAACUUCGGGAGAAGGUACGCUGUUGUUGGUGAUGGAACUCGCUUCCUGAGCUGACGACAGCCGCAGAAACCAGGCCGCUGCAACUGUUUAUUAAAAACAUAGCACUCUGCAAACACGAAAGUGGACGUAUAGGGUGUGAUGCCUGCCCGGUGCUGGAAGGUUAAUUGAUGGGGUUAGCGUAAGCGAAGCUCUUGAUCGAAGCCCCAGUAAACGGCGGCCGUAACUAUAACGGUCCUAAGGUAGCGAAAUUCCUUGUCGGGUAAGUUCCGACCUGCACGAAUGGCAUAAUGAUGGCGGCGCUGUCUCCAGCAGAGGCUCAGUGAAAUCGAAAUCGCUGUGAAGAUGCAGUGUACCCGCGGCUAGACGGAAAGACCCCGUGAACCUUUACUGCAGCUUGACACUGAACUUUGACCUUACUUGUGUAGGAUAGGUGGGAGGCUUUGAAGCUGGAACGCUAGUUCCAGUGGAGCCGUCCUUGAAAUACCACCCUGGUAAUGUUGAGGUUCUAACUCUGUCCCGUGAUCCGGGACGAGGACCGUGUCUGGUGGGUAGUUUGACUGGGGCGGUCUCCUCCUAAAGAGUAACGGAGGAGUACGAAGGUGCGCUCAGCGUGGUCGGAAAUCACGCGUAGAGUAUAAAGGCAAAAGCGCGCUUAACUGCGAGACCCACAAGUCGAGCAGGUACGAAAGUAGGUCUUAGUGAUCCGGUGGUUCUGUAUGGAAGGGCCAUCGCUCAACGGAUAAAAGGUACUCUGGGGAUAACAGGCUGAUACCGCCCAAGAGUUCAUAUCGACGGCGGUGUUUGGCACCUCGAUGUCGGCUCAUCUCAUCCUGGGGCUGAAGCAGGUCCCAAGGGUAUGGCUGUUCGCCAUUUAAAGAGGUACGCGAGCUGGGUUUAGAACGUCGUGAGACAGUUCGGUCCCUAUCUACCGUGGGCGCUGGAAAUUUGAGAGGAUCUGCUCCUAGUACGAGAGGACCAGAGUGGACGAACCUCUGGUGUACCGGUUGUGACGCCAGUCGCAUCGCCGGGUAGCUAUGUUCGGAAGGGAUAACCGCUGAAAGCAUCUAAGCGGGAAGCCUACCUCAAGAUAAGAUUUCCCUAGGACUUUAUGUCCUCUAAAGAGCCGUUCGAGACUAGGACGUUGAUAGGUUGGAUGUGGAAGCAUAGUGAUAUGUGAAGCUGACCAAUACUAAUUGCUCGUGAGGCUUGACUA
rnacentral:rRNA from 1 species